GAUUGUUAAAAUUGUUCUAAUGUAUUAUUAGUUAUUGUUGUUAAUCUCUUGUUGUGCCUGAUUUAUAAUAAACUUUAUCAUAGGUAUGUAUGUAUAGGAAAAAUCAUAGUGUAUAUGUAUAUGUAUUCUAUGUAACAGAUGUUGCCAUGAACACACUGUAAGUUGUAUUUUGUUUACUAAGUAGAAUUUUGUUAAACUUCUUAAAUGAUUUUUUGUUUCUGAAUAUUAACGUCUAUCCACAUUUAUUUUAUAGUUGUUUUAUCACAAAAAUCAAUUUUUUUUCAAACUUUAUAUCCUUAGUGCAGGCUGUGGAAGAACAGGUGCCAUUUGUGCCAUAGAUUAUACGUGGAAUUUACUAAAAGCUGGGAAAAUACCAGAGGAAUUUAAUGUAUUUAAUUUAAUACAAGAAAUGAGAACACAAAGGCAUUCUGCAGUACAAACAAAGGAGCAAUAUGAGCUUGUUCAUAGAGCUAUUGCCCAACUGUUUGAAAAACAGCUACAACUAUAUGAAAUUCAUGGAGCUCAGAAAAUUGCUGAUGGAGUG
rnacentral:sRNA from 1 species